rnacentral:rRNA from 1 species
AACGAACGCUGGCGGCAGGCCUCAAACAUGCAAGUCUAGGGGGUGUAGCAAUACAUCACCGGCGGACGGGUGCGUAACGCGUGGGAAUAUACCUAUCGAUUCGGAACAACUGAGGGAAACUUCAGCUAAUACCGAAUACGUCCUAACGGAGAAAGAUUUAUCGUCGAUAGAUUAGCCCGCGUUCGAUUAGCUAGUUGGUGGGGUAACGGCCCACCAAGGCGACGAUCGAUAGCUGUUCUGAGAGGAAGAUCAGCCACACUGGGACUGAGACACGGCCCAGACUCCUACGGGAGGCAGCAGUAGGGAAUAUUGGUCAAUGGAUGGAAGUCUGAACCAGCCAUGCCGCGUGCAGGAAGAAGGCCUUUCUGGGGUUGUAAAACUGCUUUUGCCAGGGGAUAAAAUGACCUUGCGAGGUUAAUUGAAGGUACCUGGUGAAUAAGCCACGGCUAACUACGUGCCAGCAGCCGCGGUAAU